UGCGUAGGCGGAAAAUUAAGUCAGUGAUGAAAUCCUGCAGCUUAACUGUAGAACUGUUAUUGAUACUGAUUUUCUUGAAUUCAGUCGAGGUAGGCGGAAUGUGUAAUGUAGCGGUGAAAUGCUUAGAUAUUACACAGAACACCGAUUGCGAAGGCAGCUUACUAAGCUGAUAUUGACGCUGAGGCACGAAAGCGUGGGGAGCGAACAGGAUUAGAUACCCUGGUAGUCC
rnacentral:rRNA from 1 species